GCGGCAUGCUUUACACAUGCAAGUCGAACGGCAGCAUGACCUAGCUUGCUAGGUUGAUGGCGAGUGGCGAACGGGUGAGUAAUGCACCGGAACGUACCCAGUAAUGGGGGAUAACGCACCGAAAGGUGUGCUAAUACCGCAUACGCCCUGAGGGGGAAAGCGGGGGAUCGUAAGACCUCGCGUUAUUGGAGCGGCCGAUGCCGGAUUAGCUAGUUGGUGGGGUAAAGGCCUACCAAGGCGACGAUCCGUAGCUGGUCUGAGAGGACGACCAGCCACACUGGGACUGAGACACGGCCCAGACUCCUACGGGAGGCAGCAGUGGGGAAUUUUGGACAAUGGGCGCAAGCCUGAUCCAGCCAUGCCGCGUGAGUGAAGAAGGCCUUCGGGUUGUAAAGCUCUUUCGCAAGGAAAGAAAACUUACCUGUUAAUACCAGGUGAGGAUGACGGUACCUUGAUAAGAAGCACCGGCUAACUACGUGCCAGCAGCCGCGGUAAUACGUAGGGUGCGAGCGUUAAUCGGAAUUACU
rnacentral:rRNA from 1 species